rnacentral:rRNA from 1 species
CCUACGGGAGGCAGCAGUGGGGAAUAUUGCACAAUGGGGGAAACCCUGAUGCAGCAACGCCGCGUGGGUGAAGGAGCGUUUCGGCGUGGAAAGCCCUGUCAGCGGGGAAGAAGAAAGACGGUACCCGACCAAGAAGCUCCGGCUAACUACGUGCCAGCAGCCGCGGUAAUACGAAGGGGGCGAGCGUUAUCCGGAAUUACUGGGUGGAAAGGGAGCGGAGACGGGGAUGUAAGGCUGGAGUUGAAUCCAGCGGCCCAACCGCGGAACGGCAUUGGGAACUGUUAUGCUGGAGUAAGGGAGGGGUAAGCGGAAUUCCUGGUGUAGCGGUGAAAUGCGUAGAUAUCAGGAGGAACACCAGUGGCGAAGGCGGCUUACUGGACCAUAACUGACGCUGAGGCUCGAAAGCGUGGGGAGCGAACAGGAUUAGAUACCCGGGUAGUC